CAUAACUCACACAAGAAAGGUUUUUCACCAGUAUGGGUUCUCAUGUGCGUCAGUAGAUUACCUUUUCUUGUACUUCUGUAAUUGCAUAACUUACACAAGAAAGGUUUUAUACCAGUGUGAAUUCUCAUGUGCCUCGCUAGAGAGCUAUUUCUUGUACAUUUGUAAUCACAUAAUUUACAUGAGAAAGGUUUUUCACCAGUAUGGGUUCUCAUGUGCUUCAAUAGAUGACUUUUUCUUGUACUUCUGUAAUUGCAUAACUUACACAAGAAAGGUUUUAUACCAGUGUGAGUACUCAUGUGCCUCACUAGAUA